rnacentral:rRNA from 1 species
UACAGAGGGUGCGAGCGUUGUUCGGAAUUAUUGGGCGUAAAGGGCUCGUAGGCGGCCAACUAAGUCGGAUGUGAAAUCCCCAGGCUCAACCUGGGAACUGCAUCCGAUACUGGAUGGCUUGAAUUCGGGAGAGGGAUGCAGAAUUCCAGGUGUAGCGGUGAAAUGCGUAGAUAUCUGGAGGAAUACCGGUGGCGAAGGCGGCAUCCUGGACCGACAUUGACGCUGAGGAGCGAAAGCCAGGGGAGCAAACGGG